CCCAGCGCCACAAGUGGUUAUCACGAUUAUUGGGCCUAAAGCGUUCGUAGCCGGUUUGGUAAAUCUCUUGUGAAAUUGUUCGGCUUAACCGGACAGCGUGCAGGAGACACUGCCAGACUCGAGACCGGGAGGCGUAUGAAGUAUUCCAUGGGGACUGGUAAAAUGGGAUAAUCCAUGGAAGACUACCGAUGGCGAAGGCAUCAUACGAGAACGGAUCUGACGGUGAGGAACGAAAGCCAGGGGAGCGAACCGGA
rnacentral:rRNA from 1 species